rnacentral:rRNA from 1 species
AGUCGAGCGAGCUUGCCUAGAUGAUUUUAGUGCUUGCACUAAAUGAAACUAGAUACAAGCGAGCGGCGGACGGGUGAGUAACACGUGGGUAACCUGCCCAAGAGACUGGGAUAACACCUGGAAACAGAUGCUAAUACCGGAUAACAACACUAGACGCAUGUCUAGAGUUUGAAAGAUGGUUCUGCUAUCACUCUUGGAUGGACCUGCGGUGCAUUAGCUAGUUGGUAAGGUAAUGGCUUACCAAGGCGAUGAUGCAUAGCCGAGUUGAGAGACUGAUCGGCCACAUUGGGACUGAGACACGGCCCAAACUCCUACGGGAGGCAGCAGUAGGGAAUCUUCCACAAUGGACGAAAGUCUGAUGGAGCAACGCCGCGUGAGUGAAGAAGGGUUUCGGCUCGUAAAGCUCUGUUGGUAGUGAAGAAAGAUAGAGGUAGUAACUGGCCUUUAUUUGACGGUAAUUACUUAGAAAGUCACGGCUAACUACGUGCCAGCAGCCGCGGUAAUACGUAGGUGGCAAGCGUUGUCCGGAUUUAUUGGGCGUAAAGCGAGUGCAGGCGGUUCAAUAAGUCUGAUGUGAAAGCCUUCGGCUCAACCGGAGAAUUGCAUCAGAAACUGUUGAACUUGAGUGCAGAAGAGGAGAGUGGAACUCCAUGUGUAGCGGUGGAAUGCGUAGAUAUAUG